UAGAAAGCAGAGGUCUCUCCCUGACAUCAGCGGGGGCUGCCGGAGGCUCUUUCCAAGCCCCAGCUGCUGGCCAGUGGAGUGGGGCACAGGGAGAGACCAGCACGCAGGCCGCAGUAGGUCUGUCGGCAACCCUGGCCGCUGUUCAGGCUGGAAGAGAGGCAUCCUGUGCCCUGUGAAAGGUGUAAGGACGGAGUCCUUGGAGGGAGAAAGCAAAGGAGCCCUUGGCCAUGACAAAUAGCUCUUCAGGGACAUUCUUCAUGAUCAAGAAGCCUGUCUUCGCCCUCAGGUCCCCCCAGAAAGCACAGAUUGCAGGCCCCGUAUUUACCUUCACUCAUGACGACUAGCCUCGGCCUGCUGGUUUACCUGUAAAGCUCAGACCCCACCCCAUGGCAAUGUAGUUACCAAGAGCAUUAAAUCUAUUAAAAUUUAUAAGAAUAAAUCAUUGAAAGAAGGCUUACAGUUUCCAUCCUGUGGCCCCUCUCUCUCCAAAGAAGAGUGCUGGUGGGUGGAGGAUACCGAUGACUACACAUUGUCUAAGCAUCUAGUCUGCAGGGGGACCUGGGAGAGGCGCUCUGCUAACACACUUUCCUGAUGGGCCAUCGUCAUCUCCACAGCCCUGGGA